rnacentral:misc_RNA from 1 species
GCCGUCGCCCACCCGCCCUCCUCACUUAACGCACACGCACACACGUCAGCGCACCGAUCGACGCCAGCGGGCGCACGCGCACGUGCAUCUUUUUGUGUGUUUCUUCCACCUAUCGCUACUACCGUGUGCUUCAGCGUCACACGCAUCUCCCCACUUGGCCACCUCACUCCAUGUACCGCUGCGGGCUGCCUCUCUCCACACACAGGCAUGUGCCGGCAGCGCUUGCACACAGUGGCAAGGGCGUCGUGAGGCGCAACGGCGGGGCUACCUGGACUGCGCGCCGCAGCUUCACGAGCAGUACAACGCUGCGCUCUUAUCCACCUGUCUCAGAGUUGCCUUCUUCCACCCCUGCCGCACCCUCUCCGUUGCCAUUCAUUUCGGCGUUUACAGCCAGCGAUGCUGCCGAGACUGCCGCAGUGCCUUCUGCGGACACCUCGUCUCCGCUCGGCACUGGCACCACUGCUGCGGCUACUGCGACCGUGAAUGACCUUCAUGGUGACGAGGUACCCCUCAACACACCGGCGGAGGUCGAGGAAGCGUUUGCCUGCUCUGUGCAAGCGCGCACGGUCAGCAAUGUGCAACUGCGCCGCUACAUUGACCACCUGCCGCCGAAGGACUACUCCUUGGCCCUGGCGGCCGUGAAGGGUGCCAAGGCUGCCGGGCUGCGCAUCAGCGCCUCCACCUAUGAGGCACUCCUUUCCUCUCUCAUGAGCGGCGGGCAGCUGCGGGCAAGCAUGGAGCUCUACCAAGUUAUGAUAAAACAGCAUAUGGCGCCGACGCCGAACAUGUACGCAGCGUUGAUGGAGAUGUGUCUGCAGCGCGGAAUGCCCAAGGCUUGUCAGUCGCUAUUCGACGAUAUGCAGCAGCGCGGCGUGCGACCUGCUGCCCGCAAUUACGAGCUGAUGAUCACAAGCCUCUCCGCCGAGGUGCCGCCGCAGUGGGCGCGCGCCAUCGAGGUCUUCGACAGAAUCUCUCGUGAGCGCAGAAGUCGAAUCACCGCCAAGACCUACAAUGCCCUCAUGCGGGUCUAUAUGAACAUGGAUCCGUUCGACUGGCGCGUCGUAUAUAACUGCUACAGCGAAAUGCGCAACCGUCGCCCGCGUGUGCCGCUGGAGUGGGAGAGCUAUCUCAUCCUCUGCGAGGCGCUGCGGAAGGGCAAUGCCGGCUAUGUGCGCAGGGGCAUGGCAUACAUAGAUGCCUGGAUCGCCGUGACACCGCUGCGCUCGUGGAACUUCUUGAUAGGGGCCAUGGCGUACUUGGCGUUCAUGAUGGUGCUGAAGUCGAUCGUGGGGUACUUCGUCGUGUGGUACUACGAGUCGAGUGUCCCCUCCACGUCGGACUCCGUGCUUCCCAGGUGAGCGUGCCGCACUUUUCUCUGCCCACGUGCCAGCAUACCGAGGAGGAAGGGAGGGGGAGGUCAAACCGCGGAAACGCUCAACUACAGUGUCAUCGCUCAUACGGUAACACGGGCAGGGAGGGAGCCCAUCCAUCUGCAGGCAUGAGCACGCAUACUGUCGGGCGCACAUGCACGCAUUUCUCCCGCUCGUUUUUUCCGUUAUGCUGCUGUCGUUGCUGUUCCAUCGGAGGCCGGCUCACAAGCAGGAGCGCGGCGGUGGACCCUGUGUGUCUACGCGUGGGAGAAUGAGGGGGUGAGCAGCGCUGUUCUCAUACCUUUUUUCCUAUCCGCACCCGUCCCCCUUUCCGCAUUCUGUGGGUGUCUGCACGACAUGCGGCGUGACUGCUCAUCAUCUCGAUCGCAAACGGACACGCCACAUUCGCAUGCUCACGCUUACACCCUCUCCCUCGCUCUUUCCCCGUAUCCCGCCUCCUCUUCUUCCUGUGUGCGCGUGCGCGGAUGUGGCCACACGCGCGCCCGCGCGUAUCACAGAUUAACAGAGCAACGCGAUGUGGAGAGAGGGAGGGAGGGAGGAGUGCGAGGCUGUAGCACAUGUAUACCAUCGCGCACGCCGAGACGAAAACAAGGACGCACGCAAAGAAAAGCUCGCAGGUAUUCGUGUGCAACGCGAAAGGAGCGAGAGGUGCGCUGGUGUGGGGUGCUGCGACAUUCCCCAUCGCUGUCUCUCGCCCUUACCGCGGCUUCCGCGCAUGCACACGCCCACAGACCGAGGAAGCUUGCGUAUCCUGUUACAACGCGCCCGUACCCUCCUCAAGACACUCACCUUUCCCUCACCUCCGCGCAGCUUCAUUUGAGUGCAGCGAUUCGGUGAUAUCGCCCAGCCCUUUCCACCACCGUAGCCUCCUCUCAUCCUCACGUCGUGCGCGGUAUAUUGGUAGAAGAGAAGAGGGUGCGACCAUCUCCUCUACUCACCACUUCCCUUUUCACGCAUACAUGCUGGACGCACGCGCAGGAGGCAUGAACUCCUUGCGUGUGCAUGUGUGUCUGCCAUUCACCCACCUUCGUCGCCGCCUUCCAUUUCUUCUUCCCAAUCACCACCGCUACACAAAUCUGCGCCGACUGCGUGUCUCUCACGCACGCACGCACCUCGUUCCUUACGACGUCGUUCUCUAUUUUGUGGUUGACCUACUUUCCACCCACCCCGGCAUGGGCGAAG